AUUCAAAUAUUACUUUAAAUCUUUUAUCAUGUAAUUGGCUUAUACUUAGCUAGUUAUAUUUUAGACUAUCAACUAACAAUACAUUUUCAAUAAAAAUGGAGAGAGUGAUUUUAAUUUUAUCAAUUUCAAUAAUUUUCUCUUUAUCAUUGUCGCCAAAGAUUACCACUCCUCUGUGCUUUCUUUCAGGGGUGAUGAAUUGAUCCUUAUCAUCCGUCAUAUGUCUUGAACAGUCACUAUCCAAAAAUCAUGUUCUCUUGCUCUCAUUGGCUGCAAUAUAUUCUUACAAAAUAAUCAAGUAUAUAAUUUAGGUACCCAAGUUUUCUUGGGUCUUUUAGGAUUAUUAAUUGAGGUUCCUUUUGGAACUUAGAUUUUCUUCACUAUUUUACCAUCAGAUUUAAUAAGAUUGCCUGCAUAGGUUUUAUAUUCUAUUCUACUAUUAGAUUUAUGUAUAUUUUAAGCAUGCAGAUUUCAAAACUCUUUUGAAAUCAAAAUAGCAGAAGACUAGAUUAAUAAUUAAUCUACACAUGCAUACAUCUACAGAUCUAGUUCAUAUGGUGAAAAUAAAGCAUACAUACAUCUGAUUUUAAGAACAAAAUUAAAUCGAUAAUCAGAUCACCUACCUGAAUUGCUGAUUCCUUCUUCUAGAUCGGAUCAGAAGAUGUCACAAGUUCUUUUGAAGCCGCACAUGCAUCUACCCUCUACAGAUAUCCACUUGGGAUCGAUCUGGAUCACUCCUCCUUCAGCA
rnacentral:lncRNA from 1 species